UGGGGGAUAUUGCACAAUGGGCGAAAGCCUGAUGCAGCGACGCCGCGUGGGGGAUGAAGGCUUUCGGGUUGUAAACCUCUUUCGCUAUCGAACAAGGCCCGCUUAGGGUGGGUUGAGGGUAGGUGGAGAAGAAGCGCCGGCUAACUACGUGCCAGCAGCCGCGGUAAUACGUAGGGCGCAAGCGUUGUCCGGAAUUAUUGGGCGUAAAGGGCUUGUAGGCGGCUUGUUGCGCCUGCUGUGAAAACGCGGGGCUUAACUUCGCGCGUGCAGUGGGUACGGGCAGGCUUGAGUGUGGUAGGGGUGACUGGAAUUCCAGGUGUAGCGGUGGAAUGCGCAGAUAUCUGGAGGAACACCGAUGGCGAAGGCAGGUCACUGGGCCAUUACUGACGCUGAGGAGCGAAAGCAUGGGUAGCGAACAGG
rnacentral:rRNA from 1 species